UGGAUAGAUUAUUGUAUUCGACUGUAUUCACGGCGUGAAACAUGGGAUUACACUGUUUUUAAACGAAAAGUGAAUCAAUUAACAUAACAGACUCCU
rnacentral:pre_miRNA from 1 species